rnacentral:rRNA from 1 species
UUGAAGUUCAGGUAACACUGAAUGGAGGACCGAACCGACUUACGUUGAAAAGUGAGCGGAUGAACUGAGGGUAGCGGAGAAAUUCCAAUCGAACCUGGAGAUAGCUGGUUCUCUCCGAAAUAGCUUUAGGGCUAGCCUCAAGUGAUGAUUAUUGGAGGUAGAGCACUGUUUGGACGAGGGGCCCCUCUCGGGUUACCGAAUUCAGACAAACUCCGAAUGCCAAUUAAUUUAACUUGGGAGUCAGAACAUGGGUGAUAAGGUCCGUGUUCGAAAGGGAAACAGCCCAGACCACCAGCUAAGGUCCCAAAAUAUAUGUUAAGUGGAAAAGGAUGUGGCGUUGCCCAGACAACUAGGAUGUUGGCUUAGAAGCAGCCAUCAUUUAAAGAGUGCGUAAUAGCUCACUAGUCGAGUGACACUGCGCCGAAAAUGUACCGGGGCUAAACAUAUUACCGAAGCUGUGGAUUGUCCUUUGGACAAUGGUAGGAGAGCGUUCUAAGGGCGUUGAAGCAUGAUCGUAAGGACAUGUGGAGCGCUUAGAAGUGAGAAUGCCGGUGUGAGUAGCGAAAGACGGGUGAGAAUCCCGUCCACCGAUUGACUAAGGUUUCCAGAGGAAGGCUCGUCCGCUCUGGGUUAGUCGGGUCCUAAGCUGAGGCCGACAGGCGUAGGCGAUGGAUAACAGGUUGAUAUUCCUGUACCACCUAUAAUCGUUUUAAUCGAUGGGGGGACGCAGUAGGAUAGGCGAAGCGUGCGAUUGGAUUGCACGUCUAAGCAGUAAGGCUGAGUAUUAGGCAAAUCCGGUACUCGUUAAGGCUGAGCUGUGAUGGGGAGAAGACAUUGUGUCUUCGAGUCGUUGAUUUCACACUGCCGAGAAAAGCCUCUAGAUAGAAAAUAGGUGCCCGUACCGCAAACCGACACAGGUAGUCAAGAUGAGAAUUCUAAGGUGAGCGAGCGAACUCUCGUUAAGGAACUCGGCAAAAUGACCCCGUAACUUCGGGAGAAGGGGUGCUCUUUAGGGUUAACGCCCAGAAGAGCCGCAGUGAAUAGGCCCAAGCGACUGUUUAUCAAAAACACAGGUCUCUGCUAAACCGUAAGGUGAUGUAUAGGGGCUGACGCCUGCCCGGUGCUGGAAGGUUAAGAGGAGUGGUUAGCUUCUGCGAAGCUACGAAUCGAAGCCCCAGUAAACGGCGGCCGUAACUAUAACGGUCCUAAGGUAGCGAAAUUCCUUGUCGGGUAAGUUCCGACCCGCACGAAAGGCGUAACGAUUUGGGCACUGUCUCAACGAGAGACUCGGUGAAAUCAUAGUACCUGUGAAGAUGCAGGUUACCCGCGACAGGACGGAAAGACCCCGUGGAGCUUUACUGUAGCCUGAUAUUGAAAUUCGGCACAGCUUGUACAGGAUAGGUAGGAGCCUUUGAAACGUGAGCGCUAGCUUACGUGGAGGCGCUGGUGGGAUACUACCCUAGCUGUGUUGGCUUUCUAACCCGCAC